UACAGGGGGUGCAAACGUUGCUCGGAAUCAUUGGGCGUAAAGAGCUCGUAGGCGGCCUGUUGCGUCCGCUGUGAAAGCCCGGGGCUUAACCCCGGGUCUGCAGUGGAUACGGGCAGGCUAGAGGUAGGUAGGGGAGAAUGGAAUUCCCGGUGUAGCGGUGAAAUGCGCAGAUAUCGGGAGGAACACCGGUGGCGAAGGCGGUUCUCUGGGCCUUACCUGACGCUGAGGAGCGAAAGCGUGGGGAGCGAACAGG
rnacentral:rRNA from 1 species